CUCUAAACUCUUGCCUGUGAAAGGGAAACUGGGAACUUGAUUCAGGCUGCUUCCAUUCAAGUGUUCCAGAGAGUAUAUACACACCCAAACAGACAUUUCUCUUGGCUCUUUGGAGUUUAUAAGGAGCAAGGCAACUGAAACUGCAUUCUAAAGCUAUAUUCCAGAAAUGUUCCUGAACAAAUUGCCUGUCGGUACAAGCUUCCAAAGGGGGAUUUAAACAGCUAACCCAUUUAACCUGCAAGCCAGGAAAGGAAAAUAAUUCUGUUGAAGAAUCUUAAGAGUGAAAUCUUCUGAGGCUAUACCUACUGCUGUCAGCACCUCUGAGACUUCUCCAUCUAGGAAUUACCAGGUCCGACAACACUUUUCCUCCAGCCUACAAUGAGGGGUGUCAAAAAAAAACUGUAGAAAGUACAUCCUCUAGACUUAUAGCCCUCAAGCUGUGCUAACUGUGCAGGAACCUUAUAAGCUCCAUUCUUAGAUUCCAAAAGACAAGAAGGGUGAAAACUCAGAUAAGCUAAGCCUGAAAUAUACAAAAGCCUUUAGAAAGUCUCCUCAUAGAAGAACCUGAGUAAAUUCACAUAAUUAGUGCAGGCAUUAAGAUGAGUUGAAGGUAAAACAGAGCCCUUUCUCCUAUCAAAACAGAGCAGAAGUUUGAUUUAAUACUCUAAGAGAUUCUUGUCUCCAUGCCAGUAUUAUAAUUUCACAAUUUUUAUUUUAAUUAGUUAUAGAGUAGGACUAUGAAAAAUAAAAGAUUUAUUUAUAAGUGUAUAUUUCAAAUGAUUAAGAAAUUCCAAUAAAACCUAUUUGAGAGGGGAGUGCUGUGCUGGAGGACAGAGAGGGUGUGGCAAUUGCCGAGUUAGAAUGUCACCAUUUUCUUGCUUGUGCACUACUGACUUGGCUCUGGUCAUGAUUGCUUUGUAGGAGACUGUUAGAAAACAUCCAGUAUAUUCAGAGACAGUACAAGUGACUGUGGAAUGCCUGAAGGGCAAUAGAAAUCAAAUAGAAACAAGUACCUACUCAAGUCUUGAGUGAUGACGGAGGCGCAUUUCAAGUACCAUGGAACUCUCACUGGGUGGACCCAUUUCCCCACCCCCACAACAGAGGUUAACACCACUUUAGAUAAGUAUUCCAACCUGUACAUAUAUGUGGGCUUAUUCCUGAGCCUCCUGGCCAUUCUCCUCCUCCUGCUUUUCAUAAUGCUCCUUCGGCUCAAACAUGUCAUCUCACCCAUCAACUCUGAGAGCACAGAAAGUGUUCCUGAAUUCACAGAUAUAGAGAUGCAGAGUCGAAUCCCCACUUAUUAAAGCCAGAAUGAAUAUGAGUUUUAGUGGAUCUCAGUAAACCCUUGUACGUUGAUGUCCAGGGAAGCUUACUUUGUUGCAUGUAGCUUCCCCUGUAGGGAAUCAACAAGUUGUUCAUUUAACAAAAAGUUGUUCGUGUUUUCUUUGUGUUAUUCUUUAUCUUGACUCUGUUUGUGGGAUAACUAAGAGACUUAAUACUCAUUCUCUGCUAGGAAUAUAAAAAAUGGCAGCUGGUGGGAGGGCAGGUUUCCAUAGUAACCAAAGAGCCAGGGCCUUGAGCAAACCUCAGACCACAGAAAUUCAUAUACAACUAUUGUAAAAAAACACAGGAUUCCUAGAAGCUCGAAGAACAAGGAAAAUUUGCCUUCAAAAGGGCUGAUUGUUCAAAGAGGGUGCCCCAAGAAAAGGACAAGUCUUAAUUUAGCACUUGGAUCCUAAAGAAUCACUUCUGCUGUCAUGAAGCUAAAUCAUGUCAGAAGUUAAUGGAAAGGACCAUAAACCCCUUCCCAAAGGAGCAGUGAUUUUAUCUAAGGCCACUGGGUUUGAACCAAAUGAAAGAAAAGAUUUAAAGAAAUUGUUUCAGUUUAAAGAACAACUUUUCAGAAAGAAGUUUCCAGUCAACGAACUCAUCUAGAGAAGGAAAAUGUGCAUUUGAUAUCUGUGUUAUUACUAUUAUUAGAGUUUUGAAAACUCAGACAAUGACAGAUGUAUUACAAAAAUCUGGAACGAUGAACUUGCCCAAAACCAAGGGAAAACUAAGUCAAAAUGUGUUAAUGACAUUGAACCUUACAUAUGGUACAGCUUCAUUGUCCCUUUCUCCCUUCCUAUCAUGCUCCAGGAUUGAGUUGCGCACAAGUAUGAGUUUUGUUUAAAGGUGGCCUUAGCAAAGAAUACUCAACUGUAAUUUGAAGCAGAAAUGAAAUAAUAUUAUUCUGUUGUUAAAUGAUUAUGGCUUUGGACAAAACAUUCAAGCCUCUGGGUGCCAGGUUUUACUUUCUGAAAAAUUAUCAGAGAGCUAUUUAGUCAUCACUAGACUCCUUUUAGAUCUGAGUGUAAGACACACAAAUAGAGGCAAAGGAGGAAAGGACGAAACACCACCCUCCAACAAAUCUUUACUGAGAUCAAUGUCCUCAAAUUCACAUUUGUCUUUCCCAGAAAAUGAACCUCCCUUCCUGAUCCCUACCAAAAAAUGAAGUGUUUCACUUAUUACCUAUAAGAGAAAUAUAUUUUGAAAAAUUCCAUUCUCAUAAGUAGCCCUAGUAUGCCAGUAGAAGAAACAGAUCGAUUUUUAAAAAUUAAUGUUCCAAAGGGGAACCAAAGGAAAUGAGUACUGAUUACAAAUUAGAAAUGAGAAGGCUGGUUAUAUUUUUGCCACCAAAGAAUUAAUACACCUGUGUUAAGUUCUGCCUGCUUAAAAAAAAAAAAUCAGUUCUCUCUUGCACCUAAAAGGUGGUCAUCAAAUUUCACAAGAUGCUCCCUCAGGAACUGCAGUGGUGGUAAGAGAAAAAUGGAAUGGAGGUUACGUUAAUGCCACCUCCACUGGACAUACAGCUCUCUCUAGCCUGUUACCAAUUUAGAUUGGCCCCUUUACUCUGCUCUAAAUCUAGCUUGGUGGUGAAAUUCCCAAGUGCUUUCUACUUUUAUACACAGUCAUUUGCCAAUACUCCCCUCUCCAAGGGGCUGCAAGUGUAAAAUCCCCACAUGCAGAGCUAAACUUAGCAGCAGGGCUGACUCUGGCACACCUGUUACAAAAGUUUGCUGUUAAGAGAUGGCAGCUGCGUUCUGCACCAUUCAGAAUAGAUCAGCAGGUAGCCUAAGACAGAGCAUACACUUCCCUUUUGGUAUUAUAUUUUCCCAAGUGACAAGUGACUCAUAUUAUUACAUUUGGUGGUUUAAGUUGUGUCUUUAUUCAACAUCCAGGCUCCAUAUACCCUUUAAAAUGUUAGUUCUUGGCAGCCAUACAUAGACUUCCUCAAACGCUGGCAAUAUAACCCAGAACUUCUUAAGGACACACAUCUCCCCUCUCCCUUUUGUGCUCACAGUAUUUGAAUGCACUAUAGUUAAGAAAUCAGUAGCUGGAUAAAUGAGGAAACUGAUUAAACUUCCAACAGUAGUGAAUAGCAAGAGGCCCAAUGCUUUGUUGCUGAACCUAAUGAACAGACAGGCUGCAAAUUUAUUCCCUCUCACCUACUUCCCCAACCCAAAUUUUAGGAGUUUAAAACUGCUCUUUAAUCACUGACGUGGAUGAAGAUUCCUAAUUUAUGAUUAGGCUACUCACCUGGAAAACAAACACCCUCUUUCAUCACAACUGCCCCAUGGGAUCCAGAUCUUCAUUGAGCAUUAAUCAAAGCACACAGCACAGAUUACAGAUUGCACUAAAAUAGUAGCAUAACCACUCACAGCUUCCAGUGACAACAUAAAUGGAGAUGAAUUUAAGCAGAUGUGUCAUUAUGGUGACUUACAUGGUAUUUAAUCUUUAGGAAAAUAAAUUCAAUGGUUUCAUCAUAACAGACACUGUAAAGAAAAUAAUUUUUUAUUUAUAUCAAAUUAUACUAUAUCCCCCAGAUAUUACUGCUCAAAGAGGCAGCUAGAACAAUAGGCAUAAUUUGAAUUUACCCAUUUAUCCAAAAUGCUGACUUAUCAAUUCCCUCCCCAACCCCCGCUGUCCAGAAUAUUUCACAUUAGUCUAAAUGUAUACAAACAGAUUGUUAGGUUGUUUAUAUAUAGAUCUAUUCUGCUUUAAGGUGAAAAAAAUGAUUCUUUACUUUUUAUUAUGCUAAACCAUAUGUAAUGGCCAUUUCUGUAGGUCAAAAGUGCUCAAAUAUUGGCAAUUUCA